CUUGUGAAAAAUUAGCGUACUUAAGUGUAUUGAAAGCAUACUUUUUGUGUGCUUAAAAUAAUAAAAGUAUAAUUUUCGAAAAGUGCACUUGCUGAUAAUAUAAUAUAAUACAAAUUAAAGACCACUUAAGCGUACUUAAAUGGAAUACACUUUAAUUACACUAUUUAUUAACACACUUAAGUGCACUUUUUACAACUGCACUUUGUAAUAAUAGGUAUUUAAUUUUAACUUAUAGUAAGUACACUUUCAUCAUAAUAUUUAUAAUCACACUUAAGUGCACUUUUAAAAAUGCACUUUAUAAUAAUAUCUAAUUAAUUUGAACUUAUAGUAAGUACACUUUCAUCAUAAUAUUUCACUAACACACUUAAGGACACUUUUUAAAAAUGCACUUUUUAAUAAUAUCUAAUUAAUUUGAACUUAUAGUAAGUACACUUUCAUUAUAAUAUUUAUAAACACAAUUAAGUGCACUUUUAAAAUGCACUUUGUAAUAAUAUCUAAUUAAUUUGAACUUACAGUAAGUACACUUUCAUCACAAUAUUUCACUAACACACUUAAGGACACUUUUUAAAAAUGCACUUUGUAAUAAUAUCUAAAUAAUUUUAAAUUAUAGUAAGUACACUUUCAUCAUAAUAUUUAUAAACACACUUAAGUGCACUUUUAAAAAUGCACUUUGUAUUAAUGUCUAAUUAAGCUUAACUUAAAGAAAGUACACUUUCAUCAUAAUAUUUAUAAACACACUUAAGUGCACUUUUAAAAAUGCACUUUUUAAUACUGUCUAAUUAAGCUUAACUUAUAGUAAGUACACUUUCAUCACAAUAUUUCUUAACAUACUUAAGUACACUUUUUAAAAAUGCACUUUGUCUAAUUUAGUUUUACUUAAAUGUAACCCUGGUUAAAUAAUUAAAUAUUAUUAUUUUAAAAGUGUGCUUAAAAAUAAUAGAGACUAUUCAUACAUCUACAUUUAUUUUAUAAAUGAGGAAAUACAUGUGAAUAAUUCAAUCUGAAUUAUAAAUCUGAAAUGAGUAAACCAAUCGGAGUGUUUAAUUGUAAGCUCCGCCCCUUUUUGCUUUCGGAUCGCGUCUCAGUUCAGAGGAGAGAUGCAGAGCGACAGAGACACUCUAUCUAACGCGAGAGUGUUUAAUUUGAUUAAAUAUGACUCCUAAGUUCAUAUAAGCUGAAGAAAUCAGAAUUUAACUUGCAUAUAUUCAAUGAUACAGCGUGAUUGUGUGGAUUGAGCACUUUUUGAGCUUUCAUUUUGACCUGUGUGAUUAUGUAAAACCACAUGGUGCGUUGUGUUCACUGCCGUCGCUGACGCCAUUUUGGUUGCACGUGCCUGUGAAAGACAAAAAGAGAGAGAAACACGUGAAUGGACAGGUAUUUGUCUAAAUUGUCAUUUAUUAUGAUGAUGGCACUUAUGUAUGUAUUUUAUUUGUUUCCUGUAUUGUGUACAAUUGUUCAUCAUUAUUGAUACACAAUAUUGAAUGUUUUUUCCUUUCGUAUGAACAUUCCUUGAGCUGGAUUUUCCUAAUUGAUGGCGAGCCUCCCAUUUCGACCUGAUUGGAUCACGAAUCUAGAGGAAAGGACAAAUUUCUAUUUUAAAUAUUUUUCUUCAGACAAGUAAGAGGAUACAUUUCAGAAACUGUUUCCUUAUUUUGUUUGUUUACUUCAUUGAACUGAAACAUUUCAGAAGCACAAAUCUGAUAAUUUAAGACUGAUCAAUACUCCAAUUGAUAAGAACUUUGAACUUGAAUACGGAUUUCAGUGUGUUACAUAUAUAAUUUGUACCAUAUUUGUACAUUGAUUGUGACUGUGAUUUCUGUAAAUGAGAAGUAAUUUAGAGGGUGCACCCAUAGUAUAUAUCCCCCUUCUUCAAAUCUUACCCUGGAGGUCCGGAGCACUACAGAGGCUGCGUCCGAAACCGCAUACUGUAUAGUAGGUACUGAAUUAGAUGAAGUACCUACUUACUUAGCGUUAAAACAGUAGGUACUGUAUAGUAUGAAUCCUGGUAGUAUGAAUGAGAUUCGGACGUACUACAUCCGCCAUGUUGCUACAUCACGUGAUAUACGUCGUCAUCACGUCAUGUCAUUUCAGCGCGAAAACAACCGCAUGCCUCUUCUUCUUCGUUGGAUAACUCCUCUCCCGGGGCAUCAUGGGAUAGUGAAGCGUCCAUCGUAUGCACACUGCAAAAUCAAGCCGGAAGUAGUAGGUCAUCCGGGUACUUUUCGCAUACUGUUUUUCGAAUACUAUGUAUUCGGACAUACUACUCGCCUCGCCUACUGCUUUUCGCGUACUAUAUAGUAAGUAGUAGGCUGUUUCGGACGCAGCAAGAGUUUAGCUCCAACCCUGAUCAAACACACCUGAGCAAGCUAAUCAAGGUCUUCAUGAUCACUAGGAAAUCACAGGUGGGUAAGUUUGAUUAGGGUUGGAGCUAAACUCUGUAGUGCUCUGAACCUCCAGGGUAAGAUUUGAGGAACCCUGGUAUAUAUAGUUAAUUGUAUUUUCAUUGUUGUUUACUAUUUUUUUGUGAUUAAGGAAAGAAAAAGAAAGGUUUCUCAAUACUCAAAGUAAAAUAAUUUAUUAAUCAACUUA